rnacentral:rRNA from 1 species
AACGAACGCUGGCGGCGUGCCUAAUACAUGCAAGUCGAGCGCGGGAAGCUAUCAGAAGCCUUCGGGUGGACGAAAGUGGAACGAGCGGCGGACGGGUGAGUAACACGUGGGGAACCUGCCCAUCAGACGGGAAUAACCCCGGGAAACCGGAGCUAAUACCCGAUAAGGCUUCAUUCGCAUGGAUGAAGGAUGGACCCGCGUCUGAUUAGCUAGUUGGUAAGGUAACGGCUUACCAAGGCGACGAUCAGUAGCCGACCUGAGAGGGUGAUCGGCCACAUUGGAACUGAGACACGGUCCAGACUCCUACGGGAGGCAGCAGUGGGGAAUAUUGGGCAAUGGGCGCAAGCCUGACCCAGCAACGCCGCGUGAAGGAAGAAGGCUUUCGGGUUGUAAACUUCUUUUAUAAGGGACGAACACAAUGACGGUACCUUAUGAAUAAGCCACGGCUAACUACGUGCCAGCAGCCGCGGUAAAGUCGCGAUAU